UACGUAGGGGGCAAGCGUUGUCCGGAUUUAUUGGGCGUAAAGAGCGUGUAGGCGGCUUUACAGGUCCGUUGUGAAAACUCGAGGCUCAACCUCGAGACGCCGGUGGAAACCGUAAAGCUAGAGUCCGGAAGAGGAGAGUGGAAUUCCUGGUGUAGCGGUGAAAUGCGCAGAUAUCAGGAAGAACACCCGUGGCGAAGGCGGCUCUCUGGGCCGGAACUGACGCUGAGGAGCGAAAGCGUGGGGAGCGAACAGG
rnacentral:rRNA from 1 species